UUUGUAUACAAAAAUCAUGAAAAUCAUGAUCAAAAGGGAAUUAGUAAGCAACUAACCUUAAGAGAAACUCCAAACCACCCUAGAAAUCAGCUAGGGUUGAGCUCCUACCCUCCAACAAGCUCCAAACACCAAGCCCAAGCUUCUCCCAUGGAGGAAAAGCCACCAAAAUGCAAAAAGAGAGCAAAAGGAGAGUUUAAUCUUCAAAAAUCCAACAUAAAUCAAAGGAAAACAAAGAGGGAGAAAAGAGAGCUCCCUUACCUUGCUCUCCCUGCUACCAAGCUCAGGGAACACCAAGGGGGGCGUGGGGUAUGUUAAAGAGUUGUUUCAAUAGCAAAAACACCCCUGCAGUUCGAACUGCACGAAAUCAGCCUCCUUGUACCGGUACACGGGCCCUUGUACUAGUACAAGGCCCACGAAAGUCACAACCCGAGGCUCGGAUUGGCGGGUUCAGCGGCUCUGUACCGGUACAAGCUCCCUGUACCGGUACAACCAUCAACC
rnacentral:lncRNA from 1 species